GCGGAAGGGUGGAAAGCAGAAAGUCCUGG
rnacentral:piRNA from 1 species